rnacentral:rRNA from 1 species
AUUGAACGCUGGCGGCAGGCCUAACACAUGCAAGUCGAACGAGUGGCGGACGGGUGAGUAAUGUCUGGGAAACUGCCUGAUGGAGGGGGAUAACUACUGGAAACGGUAGCUAAUACCGCAUACCAUCAGAUGUGCCCAGAUGGGAUUAGCUAGUUGUUGGGGUAACGGCUCACCAAGGCCACGAUCCCUAGCUGGUCUGAGAGGAUGACCAGCCACACGGGAAAUGAGACACGUUCCAGACUCCUACGGGAGGCAGCAGUGGGGAAUAUUGCACAAUGGGCGCAAGCCUGAUGCAGCCAUGCCGCGUGUAUGAAGAAGGCCUUCGGGUUGUAAAGUACUUUCAGCGGGGAGGCGUUACCCGCAGAAGAAGCACCGGCUAACUCCGUGCAAGCAGCCGCGGUAUUU